AAGUGAUGGUUAUGUUAAUUAGCUUGAUUUAAUCAUUUCGUCUCUCUACUUCAACCUCUGAAAUCUUACCUUGGUCCCUCCCUCUAAGAGGCAUGUAAAUGGAACAGGGACUGCAAAGGACUUCUCUUUGUUCUUAGCUCUCCCCUGAGGGCAAGCACAUUUUUGCAACACAGGUUAGGCUCUCUUUUGCCUUUCCAGGAAUGUGCACAUACACGUGCAUAUACACACACAUACACUCACACAUUUGUGACUUUCUAUUUACUUAUGUCGCUCUUUAAAGAUAAACUUCCGGAAAAGAACAAUGCAAUCAUACUCAAAUCUCUAGCACCCAGCACUUGAUAACUAGGAGGAACUUAACCAAUAUUUAUUGAACGAAUGCUUAAUAAAUGUGUCCUCCAAAAAAUUCUAAGAUAAGAAAGAAUAUAAGACAGGCAGGCAUUCCUGAAACAAGUACUAUAAUUGAGUGCUAAGUUAUAAAAGUGAUUAUAGGAAGUGC
rnacentral:lncRNA from 1 species